AGUGAACGCUGGCGGUAGGCCUAACACAUGCAAGUCGAACGGCGGCACAGUAAGAGCUUGCUCUUACGGGUGGCGAGUGGCGGACGGGUGAGGAAUACAUCGGAAUCUACUUUUUCGUGGGGGAUAACGUAGGGAAACUUACGCUAAUACCGCAUACGACCUACGGGUGAAAGCAGGGGAUCCUCGGACCUUGCGCGAUUGAAUGAGCCGAUGUCGGAUUAGCUAGUUGGCGGGGUAAAGGCCCACCAAGGCGACGAUCCGUAGCUGGUCUGAGAGGAUGAUCAGCCACACUGGAACUGAGACACGGUCCAGACUCCUACGGGAGGCAGCAGUGGGGAAUAUUGGACAAUGGGCGCAAGCCUGAUCCAGCCAUACCGCGUGGGUGAAGAAGGCCUUCGGGUUGUAAAGCCCUUUUGUUGGGAAAGAAAAGCAGCAGGUUAAUACCCCGCUGUUCUGACGGUACCCAAAGAAUAAGCACCGGCUAACUUCGUG
rnacentral:rRNA from 1 species